GUCUAAGGCCAUAGCACCCUGAACGCGCCCUAUCUCAUCUGAUCUCGGAAGUCUAAGCAGGGUCGGGCCUGGUUAGUACUUGGGUGGGAGACCGCCUGGGCAUACCGGGUGCUGUAGGCU
rnacentral:rRNA from 1 species